UAAUAUUAAUAAAAUUUCACUAUGUUGAUUCUGUAACAGAAUCAAAAUUCAAGGAACAAUUUGAAACUGUAUUAUUUACACUAAAAAAAUGUGAUAACAACAUAAUUCUUACGAAUAACUCUGGCUGUCAGGGACUUAAUCUCAAAUCUGGAAACAGGGUGCAAGUAAUCAGAUAUCAAGAUAAAUUAAAAAAAAACAUAUAAAAAGGGUUUAAAAUCAUAAAGAUACAACAUCUCCUGACACAGGCAGAUAUAGUGUCAAUCUACGCAUUUUUGUCAAUGAUUCUGGUUAGUAAUUCCCUUUGAGAUGAGAAUCGAUAACGGUUUCAAGUGAUCUCUGUCGUUGCCAUCGCAUUGCCCAUUCAGCAAGAUUGAUCUGAUCCCUCAGUAAGCUUGGGUUGUGACAGCACGAGCACAAACAACUUCAAACAAAACCACUCCAAAGGAAUAAAUAUCAAAAUCUUCAGUCAGUUGUCACCUGAAAUAUUCUGGAUCGAGAUAUCUGAAACUUCCUUUAACUGCAGUACUAACAUGUAUGUGUUCCAGAGAGGAGCAGUUUUCGAUAGCCCAAAAUCAGCCAUUUUCGCCAUAAAAUUCUCAUCUAACAAUAUGUUGGUUGUAUUAACAUCUCUAUGAAUGAUGCCACGGUCUGCUCCUGCGUGGAGGUAAUGCAAUCCCCGAGCUGUACCAAUGCAAACUUCUAUUCGCUGCUUCCAACUUAAUGGUGGGAGAUUACUUUUGAUAUAUGACUUUUUAGUGCCCCGUUUGCCAUAUACUAUAUACCAAGAUCAUUUCAUCAUGUUCAUCACAGAAACAAAUCAUGGAGACUAAAUGUUUGUGCCUAAGUUUCGGUAGCAUUUUAAUCUCAGUUUUGAAUUCCGCUAAACCUUGUUGAGGGUGUGGGUCGGCUCACUUAAUUGCUACAAGUGUUCCGUCUUCUAUCUCCCCUUUGUACACCUUACCAAAUCCUCUGUUAGGUCCAAAGUAUCGUAGAAGGGGGGGUUGAAUACGAUACUCACUACAAUUUAAAAUUCUUUCGAAUCUUGCGGAUAAACAAAUUGCAGUCCUGUAAUGGGUUUCGUGUUCCGGAUAUUUAUUAGGUCGGUUUCUGAGGAUAUGAAAAUAUUAAACCAACACACAAUAUUUUCCAAGGUAUAUCUGUAUAUUGAUAAAUACCUCGAAGGUGCUAUAAAUCCAAACCCGAAGGUUCGGCUACAAUGGCCACUACUCUCAAUAUUACAAACUCUAACCACUACUGAUAUUUCUAUUACAAAGCUAGGCUAGGGUGUGUGUAUAGUGGGAGUAGCCGUGCAGAGCACUUGGCCAUUUCAUCCCGAAGGAUGUUGUAAAUUGUGAGAACCACAAUCACAUAUUUAUAGGCUUUCAUAAACUAACCAUGGUUAACGAGUUCGUCCUGGACGACUUGAGUUCGUCCUGGACGGAUUCGAUUUAACAAAAUAAAUCUAACUCCCAAGUGUGUAUGAAUUGGCGCCAGGAGAUGCACACAGUGUUCACUGUAGAGGGACUUAGAAUUAUAUUCUAAGUAGAACAAGCGCCACAUUUGAAAGUCAAAAGCUGCGCCUUUGACUUUGGUCAAAGGUUGCGCUUUUGACACUCCUUGUGCCAAGCCAUCAUUGUGAACAUUUACUUAGAAAUAUAUGGCAGUACUGAAACUUGCGCCUCUUCACUUAGAGAGGUCAAAGUCUGCGCCAUGAAUGGUCAAAGUUCGCGCCAGUCAAAAGUUGCGCCUUCCUCUACCCUCCAUUGAGUAAUGACUUGGAAUAAAAUCAAGUGAAGUGAAGUUGCGCCAAAGCCUUCACCUUGUGUGGCGCAAUCUUUGACUUCCUUUGAGUCAAAGGUUGCGCCAGUUCCAUUGUGUUGCCCUGUAUGACUUGGAGCAAAUUCCCUUGAGAUGAACUUGCGCCACAUUUGAGAUACUCUCACAACUGUUAAGCGCAAGCUUUGACUUUAGUCAAAGUUUGCGCCUCAAACAGUGCAGUAUCUUCACUUAGCAAUGCCUUAGAAAAAUCCAUAUAUUUAUAUUAUAUUAUAUUCAUAAUAUUAUAUAAAUAUAUGUAUAAAUAAAGAUAUAUAUAUAUAUGUAUAUAAAUAAUAUUUAUAUAAACAUAUAGUAAUAUAUAUAUACACAUAUAUUUAAAUAUAUUCUCAUAUAUUUAAAUAUAUAUAAUAUACAUAAAAUUAUAUGUAAAUAUAAAUAUAAAUAUAUAUAGGGAUAUAUAUAUAUAAUUAUCUAUAGAUAUAAAUAUACACAUAUUUAUGCACAUAAUAUAAUAUAUAUAUAUAUAUACACUUAAAUAUAUAAAUGUUUAUGUAAAAUAUAAAUACAUAUACUAUAUACAUAUAUAUUUAUUUAAAUAUAUAUACAUAUAAAUAUACAUAUACAUAUGUUUAAAAACAUAUAUACAUAUAUAUUAUAUAUAUUAUAUUUAAUUAAAUAUACAUAUAUACAUAUAUAAUUAUAUUUGUACAUAUACAAAUAUAUAAGUGCACACAUAUAUAAAAUGUCACUUCCUGAUAUGGCUUUCUGUGGAAGCUUUGACAUAUGGCAUUUGAGCAGUAAGCUUUGGCAUAGCUGGCAUUUGGCUUGGCUUGGCUUUGGAACAAAUGACUUGAUAUGACUGGAUCAAUUCUUCGAUCGAUAAAUACUUUGCAAAGCUCCGUACGUGCUGACGCUUAGUGCACUGGUCUGGUUCACAAGCGACUAACACUGAAGUUAAACAUUGUACCGUCUUUGUCAGCAAACAUUGAUCAGUCGGUUCCGGGUUAGUUUAUGCUUCAGUUUGUUGAUUAUAAAUAACCAACCAAGAUAUAUAGAAAUAUCUUGCUUCAGGGGUUGCACUGAAAUCUUUCGAGUACUUGGACAACAUCUUCAUUGCUUCCACAAUCUUGAAUACUUCAAUCUUUAUUCUUCACUGAGGCAUGAACAUAUUAAUGAACUUCUUCCAGUGAACUUAUUCCUUCAAGACUGUAGAUGGCUUCUUCAACCUUUGUCUUCGUAUCUUCCGAUUCCGGUGCAGGCGUAGUGUUAUUUACUUGUCCUGUUCUAUUGUUGAGUUAUCAUCCCUAUGUAACAGAUAGGGUUGUCUUUACAUUUAGACUUACAUCCUCCUCCAAUUAUUAACCUGUCUUUGAAAUUGUUAGUAGCAGCUUUAAGCUCUGCUAAUGUAAAGCGCCUAUCCUUUACAUUCACCCUAUUCAAUAUGAUUCACCCUGUAUUCAGUGUACUCCAGGUAAUCAUCAUUAUACUUCAUCAAAUUAACUUAUAGUAUGCACUAAGCAGAUAUUUCACUAGUAACUGAUUAUGUUUAUAGGCACCUCAUCCAUUUUAUUAACCCAUAAAUGAUUGUUUGGUAUGCAAGGAUCUAAUUUGCGCCUCUCUGCACCCUGAUUACUGCAGAUGUGAUGACCCUGAUGAAUGUAACUAAGAAUGCACUUAUGAUGCAGAAUUUUAUGUGAAGCAAUGCCAGAGUCUCACCAUUCAUGCUAGAAUUCAACUCAAGCCGUUCGACACAACACCACAUAUCUGCCUGAAACUCAAAAUAUAGUAAGAUGCAAAGUUAAACAUAUACACAAAUUUAAUAGAUUCUAUAAUAGAAUGAAAUUUCUAUAGUAGAACCAACUAAGAAAUAUAUGAAUCAAAUAUCUAUAGUAGAAUCAAAACUACAGUACACAACUUUAUAACAUAAUUAAUCAUUUAAUAAAUUGAUUGUUUUGAUUCUAUAAUAGAAGCAAAAAAAACUGAAAUUGCAAGCAUAAUAUUUAUAACAAAAUUGAUUAGAUAGAAUUCAACAAGAACAAUAACAAAUGCAAAACUAGUAUAUAUGAGCCGUAAAUUGCAAAUAAACCAGGAUUAAUCUAUACGAAAUCAAAUCUCGAUAUGUAAAGACAUAUAAAUGGAUUAGUGUAACUAGAAGCAGCCGACUCCUAAUCUCUCUUGAACUAAAUUGUCAACUAGAAUUUAGUGUAACUAGAAGCAGCCGACUCCUAAUCUCUCUUGAACUAGAGAAUAAAAUAACAGUAGCUACCAAAUCCAAAUAGACUUAUUGCAAAAUAUUGUGCUAACAUUUCAUCAACAAACCCACCAUUUCAAAUGUGUGAUUAAACUAAAAAUGUAACAAGAACAAAACACAAACAGACCUUCUGGCGGAGCUCGCUUCGAUAUUUGCAAAGCUGGCUCUGGUGUCUUACUAAACCAAUCAAGUUCCAAGAUUCAUUCUCAACCUGUUUUCUUAAAAUGUAGAGCUUUCAAAACCUGUAACAGAGAUCUCAGACUUAAGAAGUAAAUAGAAAAUUAAAACUACACACUAUAAUACUAAGGGAAAAUACAAAUUAAAAAAUUAGUAAGGAACUACUUAUAAUACUACUUAUUUAGCUCGGAACUCUUAGUCAUGCCAAUUUAUUUUUACGGACUAAACAAAUACUUCGACCACUUUUUAUAACUGGUAACCGCUAAAAUUAGCUGAUCUAUCUUGAUUCUAUUGUAGAACCAAGGAAAAAAAUAUCAUCUAAUAAUAUACAUAAUUUAAAAGAAAAAGUUGUAGAUUUGGAACUAAAUUGUAAAACAUUAUUUGGUUCUACGCUGGAACCAAAAGUGUAACACAAAGUUGCAUAAUAAAACUAGAUAUUUCAGGAAAUUAUCGUUUCGACUCUACAAUAGAACCAACCAACAUACAUAAUUUUGACUAUAAAUAAGAAAAUUGUCACAAUCGAAAAGGAAACUAAAAAUAACAAAUCAAAUUGCAAAACUACAUACGACUCAACAACAAACAGCUACAAUUAACCGUAAAUUAACUACACAACAUUAAAUUUCAAACUGUGAACUCUCAACGGAUAUAGAAUUAUCAAAAUCGAAAGGACACUAUAAUAACAAAUCAAAUGGAAAAAACUACAUAAAAUUUAACAAACAACAGCUACAUAAAACCAAAUAAAAACAUAAUUUUACAAAAUACAUAAUCUAUAAGCAAAACUUUUUAGCUCUGGAGCUAAUUUAUAAGACAUUAUUUGGUUCUACAGUGGAACCAAAACUUAUCAGGAGCAUAAAUAGUUAUUAGUCAGACAUACUAGUUCUACUUGGAACUAUGUUACAAACGAUUCUAUUGUAGAACCAAACCUACAAUAUAGAACUAUGCAGAAAUUAAAAAUUUAAUAAAUUCACUUUCUUGAUUCUGCAACAAAACCAAAAUUCAAAAAAUAAUUUCAAACUGCAUUAUUCACAAAAACAUUCCAGUAGAACCAAAGCAACAUUACCACUAAAAAUUAAAAAUUUAAACAAACUGAUUUGAUUCUACAACAAGACCUGAAAACAAUGAUACAAACUGAAAUUAAAACAUAUGAGAUGAAUAAUAAAACUUGAAAGUCAACAUUUAACAAAUCAAAAUCAACAUAGCGAGAGAGAAAUAAGGAGCAGUAUAACUAAAACAUAAAAGUAAAUCGAAUUGGUUUGAUUCCACAACGGAACCAGGCCAAAUUAAUACGACUUGAAACUAAAACAUAUCAGAGAAACAAUGAAAAUUAAAAUUCAACAUAUAACAAGUCAAAAUUAACAGAGAGAUAAAGAGAUAACUGCAAGUGUACCAAAAUCAAAAUCAAGAGAGAUAACGAACCUGAUGAAUAGGUUAAAUCGACAUUAUCACGAAUCUGAGCUUGAUUUGCGGAUGACUGAGCUUGAUUUGUUGAAAGACACCAUGUGGCAGUACUUUAAACUAAAGAAAGAUCAGAACACCGGCCUCUAGAGAGAUAGCACGCCAGAGAGACGAGAUAGCGAGCCGCAG
rnacentral:lncRNA from 1 species